rnacentral:rRNA from 1 species
AUGGUGCGCAAAGGUUGGUCGGCAGUGGCUCCAUCUGCUGGUUGUGAUGCUUGCCCGGCUCAGGAGACAGCUGACCAUCUGCUCCUUCGCUGCCGUCCCGCUGAUGCAAUAUGGAGAAAGCUAUCGCUGGCAACGUUGGCUUGUGCGUCACCCAAUAUUCAGCAGUUUGUUUGUCAGGCCAAGGAUCACCUCCAGUCCACAGCCAAGUGGAAUGUUGCUUUUGCUGCAUGUGCUAUCACGCUUUGGCAAGCCAGGAAUGAUCGGGUUUUCAAUGAUAAAUGCUGGCCGGAGACGUAUAUCAGGUUUCAUGCGGCUAAUUUGCUUGGUCUGUGGAGCAACAGGGCUACCAAGCAGUCAGACAAGGACGAUCUGGCUUCGUGGAUCACCAUUCUCAGCAAUUAG